UACGUAGGAGGCGAGCGUUGUCCGGAUUUACUGGGCGUAAAGCGCGCGCAGGCGGCAUGGCAAGUAAGGUGUGAAAUCUCCCCUGCCUAACGGGGAGGGUGCACUUUAGACUGCCAAGCUAGAGGACGGUAGAGGGGGUAGAAUUGCUGGUGUAGCGGUGAAAUGCGUAGAGAUCAGCAGGAAUACCCGUGGCGAAGGCGGCCCCCUGGGCCGAACCUGACGCUGAGGCGCGAAGGCUAGGGAGCGAACGGG
rnacentral:rRNA from 1 species